rnacentral:rRNA from 1 species
CUCGUAGCUCAGAGUUUGAUCCUGGCUCAGGAUGAACGCUAGCGGCAGGCUUAACACAUGCAAGUCAGGGCAGCAUGAACCGACCUUCGGGAAGGUUUGAUGGCGACCGGCGCAAGGGUGCGUAACGCGUGAGCAACUUGCCCGUUUCUGGGGAAUAACCGGUGGAAACGCCGACUAAUACCCCAUAGCAUCAACUUUGGGCAUCCUUAGUUGAUUAAAGAACUUCGGAAACGGAUAGGCUCGCGUGACAUUAGCUGGAUGGCGGGGUAACGGCCCACCAUGGCGACGAUGUCUAGGGGUUCUGAGAGGAAGGUCCCCCACACUGGAACUGAGACACGGUCCAG